CUGAACUUUCAAAACUGUGUUGUGGUUAAUAUUCUCAAAGGUGAUGUGGACAAGGAGUUGCUGUUAAGUCUUUUGACUGCUACCUUCUGCAAAACUAGACAGUGGCCUUGGCAGAUCAGGGGGCUGUCCAGUAAGACAUUCCUGCUGAGAUUUCCACCAUGGAAGAAAGUGGAGGAUCUCAUCGAAUUGCUUGGAUUCUCUUUGCCUCAAGAUGUCUCUGUUACACUUAUUGAGUGGAAGGGGGCAUGCGAACCUUUUGGAGAGCUUGUUUAGACUUGGGUUCUGAUUGAAGGAAUUCCUCCUAAAUGGUGCACAUGGAAAGUUUUUGCUCAGAUUGCUUCCCUGUUUGGGGUACUGACUGAUGUAGACUGGAAUGGCAUGUUCAGGACCUUUUUUGAGAAUGUUAGGAUUAAAAUUGCUUGCAGGGACCCCACAAAAAUCCCAUUUGAAAGGCUCAUUGAGAUGAAGAAGAAGUUGUUUUUACUGGGCUUCACUGUGGAGGGCUUUGAACAAGUUGGUGGGGUUGACUCUGUUAUUGAUAUUGAGGAUGAUGAGGAGUUUGAAGGAGAGGGUGAUGCUGAGAGACAGGAGGAUGAGGGUGGAAAUGUUCAGAAGGAUGGCUUGGAAGACUUACUUGAUAGUGAGGGGGCAAUUGAUGAGUUAGAUAAGGCUAAUAUUACUAGUUAG
rnacentral:rRNA from 1 species